UUACUUGACGGAGGAAAAAAACUAUCCAUGAGCCUAGAUGGUAGAUUUAACCAUUAUCAUAGGAGUCGAUACUAUAUCGACUAUGUUGAUGAAGAGUGGAUCGGUGAUCUUCUUCCAGAUGAAGAUAUAGAAGUUCCUUUGAAAUAUACAAUUACAGAGGACAAUGAAGACUCUGAGCUCUUUUUAGAAUUUGCAAAGACUGAAUUAACUGAAGAUAAUAAGUUGGAAGAUUACGACCUUUUUUACUUUGGUCCUAGUUAAAUUAGUUAAUAUAUUUAUAAGUUUACCACUUAUAACUAGGUAAAUAUCGC